rnacentral:lncRNA from 1 species
CAACUCAUGGGGUCGACUUCUGUGGCACAGAAUAAAAAAUGAUUAUUCUAUAAUUUUGAUGUACAUAGCAACAGAGGUCAACUCAUAGGGUCGACUCAUGCACAAGGAUCGACUCAAUUGGGUGUGCCAGCCAAAAAAUAGUGUGCCGUUCAACUCUAUUUGACAUGAGUCAACUCAUGAGGUCGACUCAAUUUUAUAAAUAUUAUUUUCUUUCAAAAUAUACAUCCAAAAAAUAUAAAACUUUCUCCAAU